rnacentral:tmRNA from 1 species
ACGCUUGAAAUCACGCCGCGCAGUCUCUAUAUUAGUUGUUGCCGGGCAACCGGCUAUGGCGAUAAACGGACGUGCAAUAAGCGUAUCGGACCCGGGGGCGGUACCCGGCGCCUCCACCA